rnacentral:rRNA from 1 species
UACGUAGGAGACGAGCGUUGUCCGGAAUCACUGGGCGUAAAGCGCGUGUAGGCGGAUGAGCAAGUCUGCUGUGAAAGCUCCUGGCUUAACCGGGAGAGGUCGGUGGAAACUGCUCGUCUGGAGGACGGUAGAGGCUGGUGGAAUUCCCGGUGUAGUGGUGAAAUGCGUAGAGAUCGGGAGGAACACCUGUGGCGAAGGCGGCCAGCUGGGCCGGACCUGACGCUGAGACGCGAAGGCGUGGGGAGCGAACGGG